CUUGUUUGGAAAAUGAAGAUUUUGGAGCCCAGAGCAGGGAACUGAAAGUUACAGGUCUUGAGUGCCUUGCAACUUUGAGCGGCCUGCAGCGGCUGGUAGGGGAGGAGGCUGAGGGCACCAGUGGGAAGAGUGUAGUGGGGCAGGAGGGGCCCGGCUCUGGCUGCCUGUCACUGCCUGUCACUGGUCAUUGACUACCCCGAGGCUCAGGGUCCUGACCCAUAACCUGAGGGGGAAAUGGAUUCUGGGAUCUCUCUUAUUUCCCUAAAGUUUUCAGGUAUUCAAAUUUGAAGUUUCCGUCUCUCCUUACCCCUUACUUAGGUCCGCUGGCGGACGAGCACAUUCCCCAUAUCAACAACCCUCCUGCCGUCACUUGUCACUGCUGAAUGUGGUUUGUCACCCGUCCCAGCCUGCCCUGGUCCGGCUGAAGCAGGAACAUGAGAGAGACCGUGUGGGCUUUCUGUGCGGCACAGACCCAAGAUAAAUGUGGAACCCAGCUCUCCUCCAGCCGGUUGCGGGGUCAUGGUGCGCCCUCUGGUGGCCGGUCUUUUUUAACGGCUUCACCCACCCAGAUGAGCACGCUUGAAGGACCUACCCCUG
rnacentral:lncRNA from 1 species